GACGAACGCUGGCGGCGUGCCUAACACAUGCAAGUCGAACGGAGAUAUUUAGAAGCUUGCUUUUGGAUAUCUUAGUGGCGGACGGGCGAGUAACGCGUGAGCAACCUGUCCUUCAGAGGGGGACAACGGCUGGAAACGGCCGCUAAUACCGCAUGACAUAUCCGGACGGCAUCGUCUGGGUAUCAAAGGAGAAAUCCGCUGAAGGGUGGGCUCGCGUCCGAUUAGCUAGUUGGUGAGGUAACGGCUCACCAAGGCGACGAUCGGUAGCCGAACUGAGAGGUUGAUCGGCCGCAUUGGGACUGAGACACGGGCCCAGACUCCUACGGGAGGCAGCAGUGAGGGAUAUUGGGCAAUGGGGGAAACCCUGACCCAGCAACGCCGCGUGAGGGAAGACGGUCUUCGGAUUGUAAACCUAAGUAGUCAGGGACGAAGAAAUGACGGUACCU
rnacentral:rRNA from 1 species